CUAGAUAUAUACAAUACAUGACAGUCAAUUUUUUCGAGAGUUUGAUCCUGGCUCAGGAUGAACGCUGGCUGUGUGCCUAAUACAUGCAUGUCGAGCGGAGUUCUUCGGAACU
rnacentral:rRNA from 1 species